rnacentral:lncRNA from 1 species
AAAAAAAAAAAAUUCAUUCUAGCAGUUUUAGUGAAGCAUACAACAAAUACCAAUCUAAGAAAAAGCUAAACGUGCAAAGAUGCACCAAUACCUAGGACAUGUUUUUGCAUCAAAGAAAAAAGAUGGCCAACUCCAACAAUACCCACCAUCUUCAUCAAAUUCCAACAUAGCAAGUGUAACAAGCUAAGUAACUGCACAAGUAAAAUAUAAUUUCAUCAAAUUCAAAGUCCGUGACAACGCAUAUAGAUUAUAAUAGUAGGCAAUAGAAUAAUAGCUAGCUGAUGAUAGAAUGGAAAUUUUUUGAAAUUCAUCAAAUUUGAUCUCAGCUAACAAAUUACCUAGGUGGCUAAUGGCUUCCCCUUUCAGGCCAAUGUAGUAGUGUAUCUAAGUUGUGUCACCCCUUAAAAUUGUUAGGGAAGUGUAUUGUGUAAAAUAGCUUUUGCAGCAUAUUUGAAUCAUAUCUUCAAAAAUCCUACAUCCUCAAUAGAACUUCAAAAGAUAAAAAGGCAUAAUCAAUCAACUCAACAAAAAUGUUUAUCUAAUUGUAAUGUGAAAAAGUCGUGCCAAUAAAUCAAAAGCAAAUCAAUAUUACAAGUAGAACUCAAUGAACAUAAUUUUAAUUCAAAAUGGAGACAUAGAACUAGAUUUCAAGUACAAAAGUCUAUGGUGCAAGGAUGAGGACUUUUACGAAGUCGACCAAACUUUCAAUGAAUGAUUCAAGGGAAUCAGUAACGAAUAGAUUCUGUGCAGCAAUAAAUAUUUUUCGAUCACAUACAUGCCAUCCACAUUUCAAACACACUUCUUGGAAACAGGCCAAUGUCUAGAUAAAAGGUGAACCAUAAAAGAGUAUACAAGUGCACAAAUUACCUUAGAAGAAUUCAGACGUUACUCCCAUGCUUUAAAAACUGACUUGACACUCCUUGGAACAGUCUCCUUUAAUGCAGACACCUAAAAAAACAAUCCAAUAAAAAAGAAAAAGGAAAAAUUACUAAAAGCAAUUAAAUGAAAUGAACUGGAAAAACAAACAAGAAGAAUUUCUUUUCAAUCCUUGACAAUGAAAUGAACUAAAAAUAGAGCCAACAACAGCUCAGAAGGAAGUAGCUCCCUGUUACAAAGCAAACAGGGCAUUUAUUCACAUGAAGCAGACCUUCACUCUGGACCUGUAAACGACCAUAACCCAGCCUGUCUACUGCAAAGUACACUAAAACAUGGUGGGGAAAAUUAUCCUAAAACAACUCCCUUGCAAUUACCACAGACGUUUUUGAAGCUCACUAAUGUGAUGCGAUGGAGCUUCUUUUACGAUAUGCACAACUUUUUGGUUUGGCUUUGAGCACAAUCAAAAUCCAAAGACAUCAGUGAGUAUGCCAAACUAAGCUAAGCAGAUAAGGCCUUUGCAACAAAAAUUGUACAGUAACUAAAUGCAUACAAAAACAGAAGCAUCAAGGUCAAGCUAACCUCAGAAGUAGCAUUAUUAUCUAUUGAAGUCUUUGCUUCAACAAAUUUCCAUGAAGCAGACAUGUUACUUUUCCUCAAAGAAUUAAGUAUUAAAAGGUCCAAAUCAACUGUGCUGGCUGCGAUAACAUCAAUGACAUAAACAUUGGUUUGAAUAAUUUGCCACAUAUAUAGUUAAUAUAAUUAAUAAUAGGAAAGCAUAGUUGUUGUAAGUAAGGUAAUACAAAUAACUUGUAACUAAACUCUUCACCAACACACACUUACAACUUUUGACAGUAGAGAUUUAAAGUACUGAAGUGCCAGUCUUUCUUUCCAAUGUAAUUUUGCACUAGUCAACUAAAUUUUUAACUAUAUAAAUAAAGAGAGUAACCAGGAUCUCUUAAUCUAAAUAAUAACAAUAAGAAAAUAAAAUGUAGCAACAAGCUACUUGCUUGCUAGAACCACUUGGAAUAUCAUUUCGAUCUAGCACAAGUAACAACAAUAAUUUUCAAAUAAGUGACAAAGAUAAAUAAAUUUCGAACAAAAACUAAUGAAAAUCUAAUGCUAUAUUACACAGGCAAAGUACAAUAUUCUAGUCACUCACGGAGCUAAUAUGGUGCUUUUAGAAGCUUAGAGUUGACGCUCAGUAACCAAAAAUAAAUAAAUAAAAUAUAUAACCAAAAAGCAAAAAGCACCAAUGCUAUGAGUAAAUUAGGAUUUUAUAGAAUGCAAUAAAACUAACAAUAGGUCAAGUCUAAAAAGUAAGCAAAAAUAAUUUUCAAAAAAAACCUAAAACAACCAAAUGUGAGAUAAAAGUUAGAUUUUAAAAUAUACAAAUGAAAAUGAAUGAACUAAAUAAUUAAUUAAUCGGAGAGAAUUAACCAGUUGAAGCGGAGGUGCAAAGCCGUCGGCCAACAAAGAAGAUCAACUGCACAAGAACUAAGAAGAAAAUAAUUGGAUCCCUAAUUUGAAGACUAAACAAAAUGUCAAGGUGAUUAGCCGCACAAGAUCAAAACCGAUAUCAUUCUAUAGGUUCAGGUUUUGUUCAUUUCAGCAAACUAGUACAUUUAAGCACAUAAAUUUUUGGAAACAAAAUCCAUUUUCUAACACAGUGAACAAAUUUUAGAUAAACCUUUAGUGCUUAGAACUACACCUUUAGUGUUGAAAUUGACAAGAAAUUUUAAUUAAAUUGACAUGCAAGAGAAAAUAAGGAGAAUAAUUACUUGUGUUAAUCGAAAAUUUGAGCUUAAUCUACGAUGGGUUUUCAGUUAGGGUUUGAAAUGCAACAGUGGUAGCACAUGUUCAAUGGGUUCUUCGUGUGGAUCUCGAUGAUGGCCAAAAUCGACGACGGGUGACAAGGCAAAAUCGACGCCGGGACUUGAGACAAAAUCGACGGUGUUACUGAUGCAAGGGUUUGAGGCGAUAGGUUGUUAUGAGAGUGAGACCGUGUGAAGGUGAGAGAUGUUUGAGUUUUGGCUAAACACUUGGGAAAAAAACCGAUCUGAAGUGUUUUGUGUUUAUUCAUUUUUAUUUUCUUUUCUCUAAAC